rnacentral:rRNA from 1 species
UCAGGUAGGGCUUCCCCGAGCGGGGGCCGUCCGGUCGCACGCAGCGCCUGCGCACCCGACGCAUUUGUCUCUCGUCCGAAGGACGCCGCAGCCGGCUGGGUAGUGCAAGCGCGACGACCUGAGGGGCGGAAGAUGGCAGGUGGCCGCUGGCGUGCCUCGUGCGCGUCGGCGGUUGUUAGCCGUUCCGUCAGUGGUCCGUCACCCGGCCGAGGUGUCGCGAGGCCCUUCGGGGCCUCAUCGUCUCCUCCUCAGUGUCGCGGGUCAGAGUGUCGCAGGUGGAAUCCGUCGUCCCGUUCGCACCCCUCCGGGGUGGUCGGGCGAACGGAGGCCUCCGUUGGUGGCGCCGGACCCGUUGGAGGCCGGAGGCUUGCGGCGAGUAGGUCGGUCACCCACCCGACCCGUCUUGAAACACGGACCAANNNNNNNNNNNNNNNNNNNNNNNNNNNNNNNNNNNNNNNNNAGUCAGCCUUGCUUGAUCGAAGGCCGGACGUUCCGGAUGAGAGUGCCCAGUGGGCCACUUUUGGUAAGCAGAACUGGCGCUGUGGGAUGAACCAAACGCCGGGUUACGGCGCCCGAUGCGAGACGCUCAUGAGACCCCAUGAAAGGUGUUGGUUGCUCCAGACAGCAGGACGGUGGUCAUGGAAGUCGAAAUCCGCUAAGGAGUGUGUAACAACUCACCUGCCGAAGCAACUAGCCCUGAAAAUGGAUGGCGCUCCAGCGUCGAGCCCAUACCCGGCCGCCGCGACAGAGCUCCGUCACGGAGGUUUACGUCGCGGUGAGUAGGAGGGUCGCGGCGGGGAGCGUUGAAGGUGCCGGGCGUGAGCCCGCCUGGAGCCCCCGUCGGUGCAGAUCUUGGUGGUAGUAACAAAUACUCAAGUGAGAACCUUGAGGACUGAAGUUGG